UUCUGCGCGGCGAGUGAGGUGAGACGCCAAAACUCACUUCACUGUCACAUGACUCUUGUCACCCUAUUCUACGAGUCGAGUCGGGUGACGUGAGAGGUUCAUUUCAGGGUGAGUGACAAAAUGAAUCACAAGUGACUUGGUGUUCAUUUUGGGACCUGUCAGAAGUGUGUUUUUCUUUUUUUCUAAGAAAAAUAUUUGCAUUUUCUCUAACGUAAGUUAAAUUUGAUUUUAUUUUAUCGAUUGCCAGGGCAAAAAACGGUAUUACGGUUGAUGGAAGCGCUUUAUUUUGGAUUUAGAACGAAACAGACUAGAGUGGUACCAAUGAGGCCCACAUCUAAAUUGAUUUUACAAACAGUAGGUUGUUUGAGCUGGUUGUUGCAUGGAAAAAGUUUCUUUAAAGCUUUUCCGAACACAGCUUUGUUUUGUGGAAUCUAGAAAGUGCGAAGAACUUGUUCUGACGGCAGAUGGACUAUUCCAAUUAAAACUAUACAUCGUUGAUUAGAAAAUUCUUUGUGCGAUUUGUGUGCGAUGGAACUCGACUAGUUUGGGAAAAUUCUAAUGGAGCGUCGUCCGGUGUGGAAUAUUGUAACCAUGGAUUACUUCAGGCGUCUAACGAAGAGGCGCUGUUCGAGGAGCUGCAAAUUAUUAAAUUAAGUCUGACGAUACGUCAGUGGCAGAGUCAUAAAGUCACCACUUCACACAUUUUCGAUGCUCCAGUGUAAUCAAUCAUCAACUGUUAAAUUUUACUUGGCUACUGAUCUAAACGAUCGAACGGAUCUUGUAUCUAGUUGACAAUGAUAGCAAUGUUAUAUAAUUUUUUCGACACAUUUUAUUUUUUUUUCUUGAAAAUAUAGAAACUUGGUCCAGCAUUA